rnacentral:rRNA from 1 species
AGUGAACGUUGGCGGCGUGGAUUAGGCAUGCAAGUCGAGCGAGAACCGUAGCAAUACGGGGACAGCGGCGAAAGGGACAGUAAUGUGUGGGUACCUACCUCCGGGUUCGGGAUAGCUGCGGGAAACUGCAGGUAAUACCGAAUAACGUCUCCGGACCAAAGGUGUGAUUCCACCUGGAGAGGGGCCUGCAUCCUAUUAGCUUGUUGGCGGGGUAACGGCCCACCAAGGCGACGUUGGGUAGCGGGUGUGAGAGCACGACCCGCGUCAUUGGGACCGAGACACUGCCCAGACACCUACGGGUGGCUGCAGUCGUGAAUCUUCGGCAAUGGGCGCAAGCCUGACCGAGCGACGCCGCGUGCGGGAUGAAGGCCUUCGGGUUGUAAACCGCUGUCGUAGAGGAGGAAAUGCAGGGGGGUUCUCCCCUCUGUUUGACCUAUUCUAGGAGGAAGUACGGGCUAAGUUCGUGCCAGCAGCCGCCGCCG